rnacentral:rRNA from 1 species
AGAGUUUGAUCCUGGCUCAGGAUGAACGCUAGCGACAGGCUUAACACAUGCAAGUCGAGGGGCAGCGGGGUUGAGACUUCGGUCUUGACUGCCGGCGACCGGCGCACGGGUGAGUAACACGUAUGCAACCUGCCCAUAGCAGGGGGAUAACCCGGAGAAAUCCGGACUAAUACCGCGUAACACCUUUAGAAGACAUCUUCCUAAGGUUAAAGGUAGCAAUACCGGCUAUGGAUGGGCAUGCGGCGCAUUAGCUAGUUGGCGGGGUAACGGCCCACCAAGGCGACGAUGCGUAGGGGUUCUGAGAGGAAGGUCCCCCACACUGGUACUGAGACACGGACCAGACUCCUACGGGAGGCAGCAGUGAGGAAUAUUGGUCAAUGGGCGAGAGCCUGAACCAGCCAAGUCGCGUGAGGGAAGACGGUCCUAAGGAUUGUAAACCUCUUUUGUCGGGGAGCAAAAGGGCAGUGAUGUGCCCGUUGAGAGUACCCGAAGAAAAAGCAUCGGCUAACUCCGUGCCAGCAGCCGCGGUAAUACGGAGGAUGCGAGCGUUAUCCGGAUUUAUUGGGUUUAAAGGGUGCGUAGGCCGAAGAUUAAGUCAGUGGUAAAAUUGCGUGGCUCAACCACGUAUCGCCAUUGAAACUGGUUUUCUUGAGUGGGCGAGAAGUAUGCGGAAUGCGUGGUGUAGCGGUGAAAUGCAUAGAUAUCACGCAGAACUCCGAUUGCGAAGGCAGCAUACCGGCGCCCAACUGACGCUGAAGCACGAAAGCGUGGGUAUCGAACAGGAUUAGAUACCCUGGUAGUCCACGCAGUAAACGAUGAAUGCUAAUUGUUCGGGGAGAAUGAUCCCUGAGUGAUACAGUGAAAACGUUAAGCAUUCCACCUGGGGAGUACGCCGGCAACGGUGAAACUCAAAGGAAUUGACGGGGGCCCGCACAAGCGGAGGAACAUGUGGUUUAAUUCGAUGAUACGCGAGGAACCUUACCCGGGCUCAAACGACAGUGGAAUUAUGAUGAAAGUUGUAAGUCCUUCGGGACCGCUGUCGAGGUGCUGCAUGGUUGUCGUCAGCUCGUGCCGUGAGGUGUCGGCUUAAGUGCCAUAACGAGCGCAACCCCUACGGGCAGUUGCUAACAGGUAAAGCUGAGGACUCUGCCAGGACUGCCGGCGCAAGCUGUGAGGAAGGCGGGGAUGACGUCAAAUCAGCACGGCCCUUACGUCCGGGGCGACACACGUGUUACAAUGGCAGGUACAGCGGGAAGCCAUAUGGCGACAUAGAGCAGAACCCGAAAACCUGUCUCAGUUCGGAUUGGAGUCUGCAACUCGACUCCAUGAAGCUGGAUUCGCUAGUAAUCGCGCAUCAGCCAUGGCGCGGUGAAUACGUUCCCGGGCCUUGUACACACCGCCCGUCAAGCCAUGGAAGCCGGGAGUGCCUGAAGUGCGUGACCGUAACAGGAGCGCCCUAGGGUAAAACUGGUGACUGGGGCUAAGUCGUAACAAGGUAACC